rnacentral:tRNA from 1 species
AUUUAAAUAGUAUAAUAAUUAUAUUUGACUUCCAAUCGAGAGAUCUAAAUAAAUUAGUUUAAAUA